rnacentral:lncRNA from 1 species
AGUAUUGACUGACACAGAAAGUGCUGAUUAUCUGUUUAACCUAGUUUUUGUUAAGAUACCAAAUAUUUUAUAAAGUUAUUGCUAGUUAAGGUUUUGAUAUAAAACAGUAUGGAGCUUUUUACGAUUGCUUAUUUAGUUAUAUCUCUGAUUUGUGGGAAAGUUAAUGCCAAGAUCGAUUCCGAAAUUGUUCAAAAUUUAAAUAUGGCGUCUGGAAAUAUUAAAAUAUCAGCUGAAUG